rnacentral:rRNA from 1 species
UACGUAGGGGCUAGCGUUAUCCGGAAUUACUGGGCGUAAAGGGUGCGUAGGUGGUUUCUUAAGUCAGAGGUGAAAGGCUACGGCUCAACCGUAGUAAGCCUUUGAAACUGGGAAACUUGAGUGCAGGAGAGGAGAGUGGAAUUCCUAGUGUAGCGGUGAAAUGCGUAGAUAUUAGGAGGAACACCAGUGGCGAAGGCGACUCUUUGGUCUAUUACUGACGCUGAGGUACGAAAGCGUGGGUAGCAAACAGGAUUAGAUACCCUGGUAGUCCCUGAGCGGGCU